GGUCCAGACUCCUACGGGAGGCAGCAGUGGGGAAUAUUGCACAAUGGGGGAAACCCUGAUGCAGCGACGCCGCGUGAGCGAUGGAGUAUUUCGGUAUGUAAAGCUCUAUCAGCAGGGAAGAAAAUGACGGUACCUGACUAAGAAGCCCCGGCUAACUACGUGCCAGCAGCCGCGGUAAUACGUGGGGGGCAAGCGUUAUCCGGAUUUACUGGGUGUAAAGGGAGCGUAGACGGUCCUGCAAGCCAGAUGUGAAAGCCCGGGGCUCAACCCCGGGACUGCAUUUGGAACUGUAAGGCUAGAGUGCAGGAGGGGCAGGCGGAAUUCCUGGUGUAGCGGUGAAAUGCGUAGAUAUCAGGAGGAACACCGGUGGCGAAGGCGGCCUGCUGGACUGCAACUGACGUUGAGGCCCGAAAGCGUGGGGAGCAAACAGGAUUAGAUACCCGUGUA
rnacentral:rRNA from 1 species